UCCGAGGUCUGUCCUUGACAGAUUCUUCUCUGUAGAGCCGUGUCGUUGGAAAUGCCUCGGAGAGUAAAUCUGUAGUUCGCUUUACCCGCGUGUUCUCUGCUGUGAGCAUUGUGGGAUAUACUGCAGAACACAA
ensembl:snoRNA SNORA18 small nucleolar RNA, H/ACA box 18